GAGAACUGAUCUAAUGAGAGUUGGAAUGAGAGAGUAACGUCUUGAAACGACUCCCCUAAUCCUCCGAUAUGCUUUUGGGCAGGUAAAAAACUCGAAAGUAUAAAGCUCGGUGAAGUCAGCUGAAAAAAGCCGUAAGUAGGGUAUGUUCCUUACACGAAAAAAAUCCAGAGGUGGAUUUUGUUUUUGAUAGGCUGGGGGUCUUAGAA
rnacentral:ncRNA from 1 species